rnacentral:lncRNA from 1 species
AUGGCCAAUGACGGAGAUGCCCUGCAGAUCACUACACAGAGGCCCCACGUUACGCACAACGCGACAGCGUUCAUGGCUUUAUUCUUAAUUGUACGAGAUGUCUUUGAAAAGAAACGAUUCAAUUUUCGAAUGGGCUACGAUGAAACUAAAAGCACCAUAGUUUUAGGGCUGGAUAGUCAGGGAUUCGCCCCUAAUUCGGAUUUUUUAAUUCUAGUUUUUUGGUGUUUUCUCUUGGUCCACUCAAGACAGAGCGUGUUGACGGUUAUGAUCCAGAUUUUUUAUCGCUGAAAAGUAACUCUCUUAAACCGCGGGACACUCGCACUUGGAGUUGGGAUGGAGACCGACCAAGUGAAGACUCCUGUUAGUAAAAAUUUUUGAAUUUGGUAUAAACAUCUAAAUCAUUCUGCAAAAACUCGUUGAAAUUUGACUGAAUCUGAAAAUAUAAGUUUUUCAAUAAAUAUAUCUGAACUGUGUUUCCUCCACCUUUUCUGAAUCAUUCUUCACUUAGAGGGCUGAAAGGAUAUUCUACAAAAUAUCAACGAGACAAACAUUUACUCAAUUUCACUUGCCCAUUUUUUCCGCAUUCAUCAUUAUUGCGUGCGAUCUCAAGUUCAGGGUCAAUUACUGUCGUGUGGCACGACAAGCAUAUUUGAACAUAUGUCGAACAUUAUGACCCCACGUAUUUCAUCCAUGUUUACGUCAUUCGAAGAAUUGAGAACUGAAACACUUAACUUACUACGGAAAGUUACUAUUGGGCCAUUUGAUUUUCUGGUCAAAGGAUACCAAAAUGCUAUAGAUUACCAUUCGACGGUGAAACUACCAAACCACGUAUCUCGUUUGCGGUGUUUAAAAAUCUACGCUCGCAUUUUAUUUUUUUGAAAUAGACCAAAUCAAUAUUAUUCCUUGAAAUUUUCACAGAAUUUUCUCCGCACAAAGAGGAAAAAUCACAGAAAUUUUCAAGACUGGACGUUAAGUAGUUUUUCAUUUAAAAAAUAAAGUAUGACAGGAAGUCUGCGACGUCGCAAACCGAGAUACGUGGUUUGGUAGUUUCACCGUCGCAUUACUGUUCCAGUAUUGAUCUCAUCAUUUUUUCGACGAUGUUCCAAAAGUAGACUUGCAUAUUACAAAAUAGC